GAGUUUGAUCAUGGCUCAGAUUGAACGCUGGCGGCAUGCCUUACACAUGCAAGUCGAACGGCAGCAUGAUCUAGCUUGCUAGAUUGAUGGCGAGUGGCGAACGGGUGAGUAAUACAUCGGAACGUGCCCUGUAGUGGGGGAUAACUAGUCGAAAGAUUAGCUAAUACCGCAUACGACCUGAGGGUGAAAGUGGGGGACCACAAGGCCUCAUGCUAUAGGAGCGGCCGAUGUCUGAUUAGCUAGUUGGUGGGGUAAAGGCCCACCAAGGCGACGAUCAGUAGCUGGUCUGAGAGGACGAUCAGCCACACUGGGACUGAGACACGGCCCAGACUCCUACGGGAGGCAGCAGUGGGGAAUUUUGGACAAUGGGCGAAAGCCUGAUCCAGCAAUGCCGCGUGUGUGAAGAAGGCCUCGGUGUAAG
rnacentral:rRNA from 1 species